UACGUAGGUGGCAAGCGUUGUCCGGAUUUACUGGGCGUAAAGAGCGCGCAGGCGGUCGUUCAAGUCGCGUGUGAAAGCCCCCGGCUCAACUGGGGAGGGUCACGCGAUACUGAUCGACUGGAAGGCAGGAGAGGGUAGUGGAAUUCCCGGUGUAGUGGUGAAAUGCGUAGAUAUCGGGAGGAACACCAGUGGCGAAGGCGACUACCUGGCCUGUUCUUGACGCUGAGGCGCGAAAGCUAGGGGAGCGA
rnacentral:rRNA from 1 species